UGCCAGCCGGAACCAGGAGUCAUUGCAGGAGCCACACUGCACCUUCGUAAUGAGAAGAAAGUGGCUCAUUCACGCGAACCCAGGCAUCACUCAGGAAAGUGGAUAUGCUAAGAGAACUUAGGCAAUUCAUUUGCGAUCACCAGGGGUUUCACUUGCUUUCAACACAUUUUUUUUAGAUUUAAAAAAAACUGCUAUCACCAGCAUUAACUCUGGCUCCCCGUCUCCCUGCCAUUUCAUGUAAUAAUUCCACGGGGAGUCCUGGCGGGUAUUUAGCUCCUAAUUUAAGCUCCACUAAACAAGCCCAACGCAAAACUAGCUUCUCAGGGACCACCAUAAAGGGUUCCAAACAGUCUUUGGGGAAAGAAGAAGACACCCCAGGUAGGCUUCCUUCCAUAUUGCAGACAUUGAUCAAACUUACAAACUCCAAGCCACUCUUCAAAACCUGUUAUAAAAUGUCACCUCUUCUCUGAAGCCCUCCCCAGCAUCCGAGUUGUAUCUGUGCUCCCAUUGCAUUCUGCAAAUGCUUUUACUUCAUCCAGAAAGGUGUGAUUAAAUAAGUUACGGUGCAGCCAUAAAAUAAAACACUAUGCAUACUCUAUUUUUUAAUGAAGCAGAACCAAAUGGGUUGAAAUAGAAAGAAGUCCACAGUGCAAACCUAAAAGCGAAGGAAGCAAGGUGUCAAGAUGGAUUUGGAGGAAAGGUUGUAUGGGGGAGUGAAGAGAAGGGGGACCCCUGGUGGUGACUGCUAUCCACAGCAAUCCAGCUCUGACCCCAAACUCAUCCCCACCCCAAAGAGCCAAACCUCUGGGCUCUGCGUGGUGGCUCAUGCCUGUAAUCUCAGUGCUUUGGGAGGAUCACAAGAAGCCAAGAGUUCAAGACCAGCCUGGGCAACAUAGCAAGAUCCUGUCUCUACAAAAAAAAUUUAAAAAU
rnacentral:lncRNA from 1 species